rnacentral:rRNA from 1 species
UACGAAGGGGGCUAGCGUUGCUCGGAAUCACUGGGCGUAAAGCGCACGUAGGCGGCUUUUUAAGUCAGAGGUGAAAUCCUGGAGCUCAACUCCAGAACUGCCUUUGAUACUGGAGAGCUUGAGUCCGGGAGAGGUGAGUGGAACUGCGAGUGUAGAGGUGAAAUUCGUAGAUAUUCGCAAGAACACCAGUGGCGAAGGCGGCUCACUGGACCAUAACUGACGCUGAUGCACGAAAGCUAGGGGAGCAAACAGG